rnacentral:miRNA from 1 species
AUAUAUAUAUAUAUGUGUGUGUGUGUGUGUAUAUAUAUACACAUAUACAUACACACAUAUACGUAUGUGUAUAUAUAUACACACACACAUAUAUACACAUAUAUACAUAUA